rnacentral:rRNA from 1 species
AUACGUAGGGGGCGAGCGUUGUCCGGAAUGAUUGGGCGUAAAGGGCGCGUAGGCGGCCCGGUAAGUCUGGAGUGAAAGUCCUGUUUUUAAGAUGGGAAUUGCUUUGGAUACUGUCGGGCUUGAGUGCAGGAGAGGUAAGUGGAAUUCCCAGUGUAGCGGUGAAAUGCGUAGAGAUUGGGAGGAACACCAGUGGCGAAGGCGACUUACUGGACUGUAACUGACGCUGAGGCGCGAAAGUGUGGGGAGCAAACAGGAUUAGAUACCCUGGUAGUCCACACUGUAAACGAUGAAUGCUAGGUGUAGGGGGUAUCGACCCCUUCUGUGCCGCAGUCAACACAAUAAGCACUCCGCCUGGGGAGUACGGCCGCGAGGUUGAAACUUAAAGGAAUUGGCGGGG